rnacentral:tRNA from 1 species
UCGAAUCCUACUUGGGGAG